rnacentral:ncRNA from 2 species
AGGCUGAUUCGUCAGUCCGGGGAUUUUUUUUGGAUGGUUUUGUCUCAAGGGAAGGGAGUGUAAAUCUCCCGCCGCCCCGCGACUGUGAUCGGGACGAAAGCCGCAAACAGGCCACUGACCGCCUUGGGCGGAUGGAAAGGCGCGGCAAGUAGGACGAACGUAAGCCAGGAGACCCGGACAAGGCCGAACACU